AAUUUAUAAUUUUGAGAUAGAUUCCUAUCACAUAAUGACGGAAGCCACAUUAAAUCAAUGUCAGAAAUGGCAACUAAAUAAGAGAAUAUGCAAAGGAAGUUGGCCCUGGAAUUCAGCGAAUGAUAAUGCAUGUGAGAUUCAGCCUCUAAAGCCAGAUAAAGCGGCGAACUGCAUCUAUAAAACAGUAGUCGACUCUAAAAGUUACUGGGUAGAGUUAGAAAAGAAAAGUAGUUGGUUGUUUAAGGUUCCUGCGAAUUCAAAAGUCCGUCUGCAAUGUACUGGCUCUCAAAUUGAAUUGUUUGAUUUGCCUCAGCAAGGAGUUUUAAGCAUUGCGCCAUAUUGUACGGCAAGAACCGACGAUAAAAUUCUAGUUGCCCACCAUAACAUUCAGUCCGAAAGUGAAGAAUUAUUAUCAACACCUUAUAUAGGAGAAGUUAGUGAAGCGCCGAAGAUUAUUUGGGAUCCGCUGAAACUAUCAAUAUUAAAUCAUACUGAGGAAUUUGAACGAUUGAAUAAUGAAAUUAAAUUUAUGAAAGAGAACCAUCAAAAAUUGAAAGAUUUACAUUUCCAUCAUAUUUCCGGACAUGCUGGAUUAAUUAUUGCUUUAAUACUAAUGAUAGUAUUAAUAAUAUAUUUCAUACGGAAAUGUGCUGUGCAACAAAGAAUGCAAGCAAUAACCUUUGCAGGUCCGUUGCCAGUACUAUAAAUAUCAAUAGUAAAUAAACAAUAAAAUAAUAUAACAAAUAAAAAUAUACAGUCCACUAUAUCGUUGUUUAAUAGAAAAUGUACUUCUACAUAGAAAAAGCAAAAUGUUUAAAAUAAGUUAAUUGAGUACAAAUUGUUGAAUUAAAAAUAAUAUAAACCAUAAUUGUAAUCCAAUAAAAUUAAAAGCCAGAAAAACUAGGCCCAUUGAAAUCUUAGUUGCAAAAUAAAUGAACAUAUAUCAAAUAAAUACAGUCCACUACUGUUAUAAAUGCAACUAAUAUACUAAUGUACAUCUCAGCUUGCUGGCCCUUUGGCAGAAUGUUCACACAUGAACACGAAUAUAUUUAAAGACUUACAAUUUUGGGCUCCGUUCAUAUCUUAUGUAAAUGAAUCGAGAGCGAUAAAUUAUAUUUAGGAUUUUGUUAUCUAAGGCGACAUGGGUGCAUUGCUCAAAAACAUGUAAUUUAAGUGCACACUACAUGAGUCAGUCACUUGAGAUCGUUCCCCGCCUCCUAAAAUAGUCCCUUAGUGGGAGACCACAGAUAAGGUCCUCGCCGCUCAAGAUAGGCAGAUGUGCCCGAGCGUGGGACCUCGAUAAGGCGGGGACUAUUUACUUAGGCCUCUGCGUAGGCCAUUUACUUUAAGAUGCGAUUCUCAUGUCACCUAUUUAAACCGAAGAUAUUUCCAAAUAAAAUCAGUUUCUUACAAAAACUCAACGAGUAAAGUCUUCUUAUUUGGGAUUUUACACCCACCGAGCCUCUUUUCGGUACCACGGGUUGAGCAGCUAUCCAAGACUGCUCAUUGAGGUAGGCCCCCUGGUGGGAGUAUCGUGGUGGCUGUGGUUGGUACCCAUAUCGCGGGUAGAGCCUUCAUGCUCGACGUUUGAGUUACGGUGCUAGUUGCGCAAAACUCGGGUGCUGUGACCCAGAGAUCAGUAGAGAUUUUAGGUAGAUCUCGCUCCUCAGCAAGGGGGAGUGCUUGCCCGGCAAGCAAGUACUCGAAUUGCUACCGGGGUGGUCGCUAUGUACAUAGCUAUAGCUUCUAGUCCGGGACGCUUGUCUGGCGUAUCCAGACACAUGCACCAUAUGCUCACUUGUGGGCGUAUAGGGUGCCGUGGUUGUAAUCCCUUCAGUGUGGAACACGCCACGUAAAAUAAGUUCGGAGGGAUCCGAAAAGCAUACAUUGUCCCUAUCUACUAUCUAGCGAAACCACAGCCAAGGGAACGGGCUUGGAAUAAUUAGCGGGGAAAGAAGACCCUUUUGAGCUUGACUCUAAUCUGGCAGUGUAAGGAGACAUAAGAGGUGUAGAAUAAGUGGGAGAUAUUAGACCUCGGUUUGGUAUCGUCAAUGAAAUACCACUACUCUUAUUGUUUCCUUACUUACUUGAUUAAAUGGAACGUGUAUCAUUUCCUAGCCAUUAUACGGAUAUAUUUAUUAUAUCUUAUGGUAUUGGGUUUUGAUGCAAGCUUCUUGAUCAAAGUAUCACGAGUUUGUUAUAUAAUCGCAAACAAAUUCUUUAAUAAAACGAUGCAUUUAUGUAUUUUUGAUUUGAAAAUUUGGUAUAACUCCAAUUACUCAGGUAUGAUCCAAUUCAAGGACAUUGCCAGGUAGGGAGUUUGACUGGGGCGGUACAUCUCUCAAAUAAUAACGGAGGUGUCCCAAGGCCAGCUCAGUGCGGACAGAAACCACACAUAGAGCAAAAGGGCAAAUGCUGACUUGAUCUCGGUGUUCAGUACACACAGGGACAGCAAAAGCUCGGCCUAUCGAUCCUUUUGGUUUAAAGAGUUUUUAACAAGAGGUGUCAGAAAAGUUACCAUAGGGAUAACUGGCUUGUGGCGGCCAAGCGUUCAUAGCGACGUCGCUUUUUGAUCCUUCGAUGUCGGCUCUUCCUAUCAUUGUGAAGCAAAAUUCACCAAGCGUUGGAUUGUUCACCCAUGCAAGGGAACGUGAGCUGGGUUUAGACCGUCGUGAGACAGGUUAGUUUUACCCUACUAAUGACAAAACGUUGUUGCGACAGCAUUCCUGCGUAGUACGAGAGGAACCGCAGGUACGGACCAAUGGCACAAUACUUGUUCGAGCGAACAGUGGUAUGACGCUACGUCCGUUGGAUUAUGCCUGAACGCCUCUAAGGUCGUAUCCGUGCUGGACUGCAAUGAUAAAUAAGGGGCAAUUUGCAUUGUAUGGCUUCUAAACCAUUUAAAGUUUAUAAUUUACUUUAUAAACGACAAUGGAUGUGAUGCCAAUGUAAUUUGUAACAUAGUAAAUUGGGAGGAUCUUCGAUCACCUGAUGCCGCGCUAGUUACAUAUAAAAGCAUUAUUU
rnacentral:rRNA from 1 species